rnacentral:rRNA from 1 species
CCUACGGGGGGCAGCAGUGAGGAAUAUUGGUCAAUGGACGAGAGUCUGAACCAGCCAAGUAGCGUGAAGGAUGACUGCCCUAUGGGUUGUAAACUUCUUUUAUAUGGGAGUAAAAUGUUCCACGUGUGGGAUUUUGUAUGUACCAUAUGAAUAAGGAUCGGCUAACUCCGUGCCAGCAGCCGCGGUAAUACGGAGGAUCCGAGCGUUAUCCGGAUUUAUUGGGUUUAAAGGGAGCGUAGGUGGAUUGGUAGGUCAGUUGUGAAAGUUUACGGCUCAACCGUAAAAGUGCAGUUGAAACUGGCAGUCUUGAGUACAGUAGAGGUGGGCGGAAUUCGUGGUGUAGCGGUGAAAUGCUUAGAUAUCAGGAAGAACUCCGAUUGCGAAGGCAGCUCACUGGACUGCAACUGACACUGAGGCUCGAAAGUGUGGGGAUCAAACAGGAUUAGAUACCCGAGUAGUC